rnacentral:rRNA from 1 species
AUAUUAAUAAGCGGAGGAAAAGAAACUAACAAGGAUUCCACAGUAGCGGCGAGCGAAGUGGGAAAAGCUCAAAUUUAAAAUCUCACUGGUUUCCAGUGCGAAUUGUAGUUUAAAGAGGCUAGGGAGUGGAAGUAGUGGGUCCAAGUCCCUUGGAAAAGGGCAUCAUGGAGGGUGAAAAUCCCGUGAUCGGCUCACUUACGACUACAACCUCUAGUACUCAACGAGUCGAGUUGUUUGGGAAUGCAGCUCUAAAUGGGUGGUAGAAAUCAUCUAAAGCUAAAUAAUGGCGAGAGACCGAUAGCGCACAAGUA